GGGCGUGUGGUCUAGUGGUAUGAUUCUCGCUUUGGGUGUGAGAGGCCCUGGGUUCAAUUCCCAGCUCGCCCC
rfam:Pachysolen tannophilus NRRL Y-2460 unplaced genomic scaffold PACTA_scaffold_2, whole genome shotgun sequence.